ensembl:snoRNA SNORD115 Small nucleolar RNA SNORD115
GGGUCAAUGAUGAAAUCUUUGUCUUGACUCAAGUGAGGUGUUGUCUUAAAAGUCUUGUGCAAUAGAAUUAUGGUGAGGACC